AUACAUUUGCAUCUAGCGUAGGAAGUGCGCAAAGUUACGCCUUUAUAGAUAUGAUGCGUGAGAGCUUGUAAGGAAUGCGUUGGAUUUCAAACUUUGUAAAAUCCA
rnacentral:sRNA from 1 species